rnacentral:rRNA from 1 species
GUGUCGUGAGAUGUGGGUUAAGUCCCGCAACGAGCGCAACCCUUGUCACUAGUUGCCAGCAUUAAGUUGGGCACUCUAGUGAGACUGCCGGUGACAAACCGGAGGAAGGUGGGGAUGACGUCAAGUCCUCAUGGCCCUUAUGGGUAGGGGCUUCACACGUCAUACAAUGGUCGGUACAGAGGGUUGCCAAGCCGCGAGGUGGAGCUAAUCCCUUAAAGCCGAUCGUAGUCCGGAUCGUAGUCUGCAACUCGACUACGUGAAGUCGGAAUCGCUAGUAAUCGCAGAUCAGCAUGCUGCGGUGAAUACGUUCCCGGGUCUU